AGAGUUUGAUCCUGGCUCAGAAUCAACGCUGGCGGCGUGCCUAACACAUGCAAGUCGAACGCGAAAGCCCUUUCGGGGGUAAGUAGAGUGGCGUCCGGGUGAGUAACACGUGGGUAAUCUGCCUUCGGGUGGGGAAUAACUCGCCGAAAGGUGAGCUAAUACCGCAUAAUGCAGCGGCACCUAAUGGUGAUUAGUUGUUAAAGCGGGGGACCCUUCGGGGCCUCGUGCCUGAAGAGGAGCCUGCGGCAGAUUAGCUAGUUGGUGAGGUAAUGGCUCACCAAGGCUUCGAUCUGUAGCUGGUCUGAGAGGACGCCAGCCACACUGGCACUGACACACGGGCCAGACUCCUACGGGAGGCAGCAGUGGGGAAUUUUGGGCAAUGGGCGCAAGCCUGACCCAGCAACGCCGCGUGAGGGAGGAAAUCCUUCGGGAUGUAAACCUCACAAGCAAGGGAAGAGCGCUACAGGCCGAAUAAGUCUGUAGUCCGACGUACCUUGCUAGGCCAAAU
rnacentral:rRNA from 1 species